rnacentral:lncRNA from 1 species
AAAAAAUUCAUUACAAAGCGACACAACAUUUCUCCCAUUCUCUUUUCCCCAUCGACUUCGCCUCUCCACAAUUUCCCUUGGCGCUUCAGUUCUCACUCUCUCUCUCCACCUUCCACGGCCGACCACAGGCGCCUUAGCUCACUCUCGUCUCUCUUUGACUUCCACCGUCAACCGACGGCGCCUCAGACUUCACUAUUGUCUCUCUCUGCCUUCCACCGGCAUGCUCACUCUCAUCGCUCGCCUCCCAGGACACAAAUCAUUAAAGUACGUUGUCUAUGCACAUUUAUUUAUUGUUCAUUUGAGUUAUUUUUCCUGUUGUCAAUUUUGAGUUUGCAGAAAACUGGAGAGAAAUGCAUCUGAGGGAAAAACUAAGUAUGUUUUUCAAUUUUGUGUUUAUUUAAAAAUUUAAACAUGGGUUGUUGUUGAAUUUUAUUGUUUAAAGAUUUAUUUUGGAUGUUGGCACUGCCGCACUGAGAACAAUUGAACAAUGGUGUGUAGAUGGUUGGCGAGGGUAAUAAAGUCAUUUGCAAUUGCGUAGAUGGAGGCCAGGAAGUUCAGUACCCAAAAACUGAGACCAAAGCUUUACUAAUGGGCAUUUUGGUUGAAGGUUGGUAGUUAAAUGAUAAAUAAUUCAAUUUGAUAGUAUAAUCCAAUUAGUUUGUAGCUUAUAAUUCACUCGGAUUUUUAUUUCAUAAAUCUAAAAAUGAUGUUUAUUUGAUUUCUAGAAGAACUUAUAGAAUAUGAGCUAAUAAAUCCUAGCUUUAGCAAAAAAGAUGAGAUGAUAAGAUAUGAGGUUCCAAGUCCCACUAAUUGAUGCAAUUGGAUAUGUUGACCUGGUCAACUGGGCGAGAUUGGAAAAUAAUGUCACUUAACGAGCCGCUAUGCUAAACUCUUGGACUAAAGGUCUGUAGCAUACCAAUUUUAGGGUCAAAUUCUAUCAUUUAAGCUAUCAAAAGAACAAUAAAUAAAUGUGCAUAUAGAUGCGUACAUAUAACCCUCAUUUACGGCGUAAACGUGUUGUGUAGUACAUUGUAACCAGAAGUGUGGUUUGUGACCUUUAUGCCUGUAGGGUAUCUUCAAAUUGUGCUUAUACAACUGGAAGAUGAAAUUAGCAAUAUUGUAUAUCACAAUUGUGAUUAUUAUUAUGACAUAAUAUAUUCAUGUUAGAAUUUUUUGAAAGUGUUAUGUAGUCUAUUAUGACUAGAACAUUAGGUCACAAUUAUGAUUUUGUAUAUGGCCUGUAACAUUCUUCGUUCUCUGUACUUGUUUGAUAUAUCUACUGUUUAUUUGUGAUGUUGUAAACAUAUGCAAUGCACGUCGUAAAAAAUACAUUUUGUUGUAGUGCUUCUAUUGUCACUAAAAAACAAAUAUAAGAAUUUCAUGUCACACUUUGCACUAUCCGUACUUCUCUAUGUGGAACCUUAUAUUGCAUAUGUUUUUUUUCAUUGUACCUAAUGAUUUUAUUUCAGAGCAGCCCAACUGCAUUAUAAUAUUACUAAAAAUAUUCGCUUUACCAUAUAUUAUAGCAUCUCAUUUUUAUCUUGCUUCCCUACUAAGUUACAUUGAUUUCAGUUCACAUAGGUCAUUGGUUUGUAUUUCAGCACAUAGAAUCCAUAAUUAGAACUUGAAUACCAAAUAUCGCAUCAUUAAUUAACAAAAGCAUUGGUGUACGUGAAUCUGAGAUGGAUCACCUUGGAAAGCCUAUUGUCGUUGAUGUAGAGGUGAGCUUGAAAUUUUAAUUGGGUUUUCUGAAAUGAAGUCUAUAAAUUUUUUUUGAGAGCUGAUAUAUGGAUUUGAGGCUCGUUUAUACACUAUAUUGAAAUUAUGUUGUGCUUUUGACCGAAUAUUCAACGAACAUUUGGUGCGAGAGUAUGAAAAAAUAUUGCUUACUGUACCGCAAAUUGUGCAUUUGGAAAUAUUUUAACGCAUUAUUAAACAUCUGGUGUGUGAUGUGCUUUGAGUUUUGACGUUGUAGAUUUUACUUCUCUUCGAUACAUAUGACUAUUGCUCAAUUAUUUCUUGUUUCCCUUUUUCCUAUAGUUCUGACAUGCGAUGGUUUACUUGAUAUUUGUACCUUUUAUUACCAUACUACACUACCAAAUCUGUAAGAGACCUGGUAGUGUAGCCCCUCUCACAGUUCGGGGUGGGGGUGGGUUUUUUGGGGUAUUUUUUUAAUCAUGGGCCCGCGUAGAUGAGAGAAAAUGCGAGAGGAGGCCUCUACCAGACCUUUUACAGGUCUGGUAGAGUAGCAUUACCCAUUUGAGAAAGGUCCUUUGAGUGUAUGUGGUUUUGUAGAGGUGUCUUUCUGACAAACAUUGUUAAGGCAAGAAUUUACUAAUAACAUUUUAUACAUCCUUAGUAGUUAAUCCAAAAUAGGAUCCAAUCUUUUACUCUUUAUAAUAUGGGAUUUUUUUAUUUUUUUUUAAUGCAAAAUCACCUGUCUUUAUCAAUUUUAACUUUGUUCAAAUUCUCCAACUUUAAACUAAAUUAGAAUUGGUCUUAUCUUUCACUAA